rnacentral:tRNA from 1 species
GCCUUCUUGGUGUAGUGGUCUGCAUUCUCGACGCGUAACCGAGAGAUCCGUGGUUCGAUUCCCGGCGAAGGCG